rnacentral:rRNA from 1 species
AGUUUGAUCCUGGCUCAGAUUGAACGCUGGCGGCAGGCCUAACACAUGCAAGUCGAGCGGCAGCGGGAAAGUAGCUUGCUACUUUUGCCGGCGAGCGGCGGACGGGUGAGUAAUGCCUGGGGAUCUGCCCAGUCGAGGGGGAUAACAGUUGGAAACGACUGCUAAUACCGCAUACGCCCUACGGGGGAAAGGAGGGGACCUUCGGGCCUUUCGCGAUUGGAUGAACCCAGGUGGGAUUAGCUAGUUGGUGGGGUAAUGGCUCACCAAGGCGACGAUCCCUAGCUGGUCUGAGAGGAUGAUCAGGCACACUGGAACUGAGACACGGUCCAGACUCCUACGGGAGGCAGCAGUGGGGAAUAUUGCACAAUGGGGGAAACCCUGAUGCAGCCAUGCCGCGUGUGUGAAGAAGGCCUUCGGGUUGUAAAGCACUUUCAGCGAGGAGGAAAGGUUGGCGCCUAAUACGUGUCAACUGUGACGUUACUCGCAGAAGAAGCACCGGCUAACUCCGUGCCAGCAGCCGCGGUAAUACGGAGGGUGCAAGCGUUAAUCGGAAUUACUGGGCGUAAAGCGCACGCAGGCGGUUGGAUAAGUUAGAUGUGA